UGGGGAAUUUUGGACAAUGGGGGAAACCCUGAUCCAGCCAUCCCGCGUGUGCGAUGAAGGCCUUCGGGUUGUAAAGCACUUUUGGCAGGAAAGAAACGUCGCGGGUUAAUACCCCGCGGAACUAACGGUACCUGCAGAAUAAGCACCGGCUAACUACGUGCCAGCAGCCGCGGUAAUACGUAGGGUGCAAGCGUUAAUCGGAAUUACUGGGCGUAAAGCGUGCGCAGGCGGUUCGGAAAGAAAGAUGUGAAAUCCCAGAGCUUAACUUUGGAACUGCAUUUUUAACUACCGGGCUAGAGUGUGUCAGAGGGAGGUGGAAUUCCGCGUGUAGCAGUGAAAUGCGUAGAUAUGCGGAGGAACACCGAUGGCGAAGGCAGCCUCCUGGGAUAACACUGACGCUCAUGCACGAAAGCGUGGGGAGCAAACAGGAUUAGAUACCCUGGUAGUCCACGCCCUAAACGAUGUCAACUAGCUGUUGGGGUCUUCGGACCUUGGUAGCGCAGCUAACGCGUGAAGUUGACCGCCUGGGGAGUACGGUCGCAAGAUUAAAACUC
rnacentral:rRNA from 1 species